rnacentral:rRNA from 1 species
AACGAACGCUGGCGGCGUGCCUAACACAUGCAAGUCGAGCGAGAACGGUCUUCGGACUUAGUACAGCGGCGCACGGGUGAGUAACACGUGGAUAAUCUGCCCUAAGGUUCGGAACAACUCGAGGAAACUCGGGCUAAUUCCGGAUAAGACCACGAUCGGAAACGACAGUGGUAAAAGUGGGGGACCCUUUCGGGGGCCUCACGCCAAAGGAUGAGUCCGCGGCCCAUCAGUUUGUUGGCGGGGUAACGGCCCACCAAGGCUAAGACGGGUAGCAGGUCUGAGAGGAUGAUCUGCCACAUUGGAACUGAGAUACGGUCCAG